rnacentral:rRNA from 1 species
GGACGAACGCUCGGCGGCGGUGCCUAACACAUGCAAGUCGAACGGGGCUCGUUGGGAUCGGAGAACGUUCGGUCAAGUGAAUCUGAGCUUAGCGGCGGACGGGUGAGUAACACGUGAGCAACCUGCCUUUCAGAGGGGGAUAACGUUUGGAAACGAGCGCUAAUACCGCAUAACACCGAGACGUCACAUGGCGAUUCGGUCAAAGGAGCAAUCCGCUGAAGGAUGGCCUCGCGUCCGAUUAGCUAGAUGGCGGGGUAACGGCCCACCAUGGCGACGAUCGGUAGCCGGACUGAGAGGUUGAACGGCCACAUUGGGACUGAGAUACGGCCCAG